AAAAAACAAAAGUGAGAUAUUAUUCUGAGGGGAAAAAAAAUUCACACUCAGUCAUAAUAUAACCAACACUCAGUCCUACUACAAAUGCAACCAUCUACUAGGAAAUCAUAGAAUGGAGUAUGCCAAGUGGCUUACUUUGGUUGAAAUUAAUUGCUGGAUUUCACAAGUUUGGUAUGUUCCUUUAUAUUGCAUGACCAACACUCACAAACCAAGGCCCAAAUUGGAUAGGGGCAGAUCCAGAUUUUAUUCUUUUUUUUAACAAUAAAAAUACCUACCG
rnacentral:misc_RNA from 1 species